CCUACGGGUGGCAGCAGUCGAGAAUCAUUCACAAUGGGGGAAACCCUGAUGGUGCGACGCCGCGUGGGGGAAUGAAGGUCUUCGGAUUGUAAACCCCUGUCAUGUGGGAGCAAAUUAAAAAGAUAGUACCACAAGAGGAAGAGACGGCUAACUCUGUGCCAGCAGCCGCGGUAAUACAGAGGUCUCAAGCGUUGUUCGGAAUCACUGGGCGUAAGGCGUGCGUAGGCUGUUUCGUAAGUCGUGUGUGAAAGGCGCGGGCUCAACCCGCGGACGGCACAUGAUACUGCGAGACUAGAGUAAUGGAGGGGGAACCGGAAUUCUCGGUGUAGCAGUGAAAUGCGUAGAGAUCGAGAGGAACACUCGUGGCGAAGGCGGGUUCCUGGACAUUAACUGACGCUGAGGCACGAAGGCCAGGGGAGCGAAAGGGAUUAGAUACCCGUGUAGUC
rnacentral:rRNA from 1 species